rnacentral:lncRNA from 1 species
AUAUUUUCUGGGCCUGGCUGUUCAAGCUGCUGUUUGUGGGGGGCUCAGUAUAUGAUUAGAGUGGACAUUUCCUCUCUUGGAGAACUUUGAUGGAGUCCUCAGAGGUCGUCUAACUCUGGACCCUCUUCUCCUAUAGUUUUUCUUCCCCCCUUGGAAGAUGAAUUGCAUUUUAUCAGUUAUCUCAGAGAAGCACUUUGAAAUGAAGUCGCAUUGGUGUGCCCCAUGGAAUGAUUGAGACUGGCCGGGAGACAUCAAGAGGUAUUAAUGUGUAUUUUGCAAGGAAGGUGCAGGAGCUGGGGCCUUACCUGCAGUUGCUGAUGGAUUUCUUAGUGAGAAAAAUGGUGACUACACAGCAAGAACAGCAGCAAAAGGAAAGGCACCAAGUGUAAAGGAAGAAUAUUUGAAGCAGAACAGAAAUAAUUUCUGAGCAAGAAGGGCUAUGUGAUGAUGCUUCAUUCAGCUGGUGAUCCAUUACACCUGUUAAGAGGCCAAAGAGAACUGUAGAUCUCUGAGGUCCAUGGGGGCAGGGGCAAGGGAAUAAGAUGAAGGGAACACUAGAAUAAAUGAAGUGCCUUAACAGCUGAAAAGGCUGAUGGAUGUGCUUUGCACCUCAGAAGACGGAACUCCCAGCAGGAGAAUAAAGAGUGCAACAGAGCAGAGCCUGCUAGAACCACACAGUUAGGGAACUGAUCCUCUAAUAACCUCUCCUUUCAGAACUUUAUAAUGUGCUAUAAAAACCCCUUGUCUGUGGACUA